rnacentral:rRNA from 1 species
GAUGAACGCUGGCGGCGUGCCUAAUACAUGCAAGUCGAGCGAACAGACGAGGAGCUUGCUCCUCUGACGUUAGCGGCGGACGGGUGAGUAACACGUGUAUAACCCACCUAUAAGACUGGGAUAACUUCGGGAAACCGGAUCUAAUACCGUAUAAUAUAUUGAACCGCAUGGUUCAAUAGUGAAAUACGGUUUUGCUGGCACGUAUAGAUGCAUCCGCGCUGCAUUAGCUAGUUGGUACGGUAACGGCUUACCAAGGCAACGAUGCGUAGCCGAACUGAGAGGGUGAUAGGCGGCACUGGAACUGAGCCACGGUCCAGAGUCCUACGGGAGGCAGCAGUAGGGAAUCUUCCGCAAUAGGCGAAAGCCUGACGGAGCAACGCCGAGUGAGUGAUGAAGGUCUUCGGAUCGUAAAACUCUGUUAUUAGGGAAGAACAAAUGUGUAAGUAACUAUGCACGUAUUGACGGUAACUAAUAAGAAAGCACCGGCUAACUACGUG